rnacentral:rRNA from 1 species
AGAGUUUGAUCCUGGCUCAGGACGAACGCUGGCGGCGCGCCUAACACAUGCAAGUCGAACGGAGUCAAGAGGAGCUUGCUUUUCUUGACUUAGUGGCGAACGGGUGAGUAACGCGUGAGUAACCUGCCCUGGAGUGGGGGACAACAGUUGGAAACGACUGCUAAUACCGCAUAAGCCCACGGAUCCGCAUGGAUCUGCGGGAAAAGGAUUUAUUCGCUUCAGGAUGGACUCGCGUCCAAUUAGCUAGUUGGUGAGGUAACGGCCCACCAAGGCGACGAUUGGUAGCCGGACUGAGAGGUUGAACGGCCACAUUGGGACUGAGACACGGCCCAGACUCCUACGGGAGGCAGCAGUGGGGGAUAUUGCACAACGGGGGAAACCCUGAUGCAGCGACGCCGCGUGGAGGAAGAAGGUUUUCGGAUUGUAAACUCCUGUCGUUAGGGACGAUAAUGACGGUACCUAACAAGAAAGCACCGGCUAACUACGUGCCAGCAGCCGCGGUAAAACGUAGGGUGCAAGCGUUGUCCGGAAUUACUGGGUGUAAAGGGAGCGCAGGCGGACCGGCAAGUUGGAAGUGAAAACUAUGGGCUCAACCCAUAAAUUGCUUUCAAAACUGCUGGCCUUGAGUAGUGCAGAGGUAGGUGGAAUUCCCGGUGUAGCGGUGGAAUGCGUAGAUAUCGGGAGGAACACCAGUGGCGAAGGCGACCUACUGGGCACCAACUGACGCUGAGGCUCGAAAGCAUGGGUAGCAAACAGGAUUAGAUACCCUGGUAGUCCAUGCCGUAAACGAUGAUUACUAGGUGUUGGAGGAUUGACCCCUUCAGUGCCGCAGUUAACACAAUAAGUAAUCCACCUGGGGAGUACGACCGCAAGGUUGAAACUCAAAUGAAUUGACGG